rnacentral:rRNA from 1 species
UACAGAGGGGGCAAGCGUUGUUCGGAAUUACUGGGCGUAAAGGGCGCGUAGGCGGCCUUCUAAGUCAGACGUGAAAUCCCUCAGCUUAACUGGGGAACUGCGUGUGAUACUGGAUGGCUUGGAUUUGGGAGAGGGAUGCGGAAUUCCAGGUGUAGCGGUGAAAUGCGUAGAUAUCUGGAGGAACACCGGUGGCGAAGGCGGCAUCCUGGACCAAUAUUGACGCUGAGGAGCGAAAGCCAGGGGAGCAAACGGG